GACAGAGGGGGCAAGCGUUGCUCGGAAUCACUGGGCGUAAAGGGCGCGUAGGCGGGAUGGCAAGUCAGUCGUGAAAUCUCUCGGCUCAACCGAGAAGCGUCGGCUGAUACUGCCGUUCUUGAGGGAUGCAGAGGAGACUGGAAUUCCCGGUGUAGCGGUGAAAUUCGUAGAUAUCCGGAGGAACACCGGUGGCGAAGGCGGCUUCCUGGACCGACACUGACGCUGAGGCGCGAAAGCUAGGGGAGCAAACGGG
rnacentral:rRNA from 1 species